GGACAACACAGCAAAGCAAAGGUGCCAUUGUGAAGUGAUAGAGACUGUCCUAGACUACCAAAGAUGAAGGCGCAAGGGGAAGAUCUUCAUUUAAAGAUUUAGGUAUUGCCCUUUUACUUUGUAUCUUAAGGUUUUGGACUGGAUAUGGUUAUAAUGUGUAUUAAGUAUUUUCAUUUUAAAAUCUGCAACAGUAUCCUAAAUCAAUAUUAGCAAUACCUUGAUUUUGUACACAUGUAUUUGUGUCUUAUUUGUCAAACAUUCCCUAAAAGAUAACCUUGUAAAAGGGUCUCAAUUUCUUACAGAGAGACAUGGAUGGAAGGGGGGAAUGGCACCCUAGCACGUCUACACUGUCACCCUCUCACACACACUGUCACCCUCUCACACACACUGUCACCAUCCCACUUAAACUGUCACCAACACACACCCUGUCACCCUCACUAGAGGCAGAGACAAGGCAAAGGGAGGCUGGUGGCAGAGAGGUGGCACUGGCAGGGUGUUUGAGGGCACAUGGAACUAGCAGGCAUUUUGGAGGCACAUGUGACUCAUUGGCAUGAUAUACAAAUUUUAUGAAUUUACUGCUCUUUGGCAUGAUAUUCUGGAUUUAUGCAUUUACUGCUCGUUGGCAUGAUAUAUUCAGUUUAUGUAUUUAUUGCUUCAUUGGCAUGAAAUACCAAGUUUAUGUAUUUAUUGCUUUAUUGGCAUAAUGUACCAAGUUUACGCAUUUAAUGUUCAUUGGCAUGAUUUAUCAAGGUUACAGGUUUAUGCAUUUAAUGUUCAUUGGCAUGAUAAAUUCUAUAUCUAUCUAUAUAUAUAUUGCUCCAAAGGGUAUAUAUGAGUGACUGCGUCGAUGUGUAUGUGCAUGCAUGACUGUGGCGGUGGGAUGAGAGUCUUGGACCCAGGCAGCGCACAAUGUCUUUGGCUGGCCCUGUGAAGUUGGAAACAUGAAAAGUCAGAACUGGUUACUAAAAUGUUUGAAUCCCACUACUGAUUUAGGGGUAAUUAUUUCAGGUGACUUAAAGGUAGGCAGACAAUGUAAUAGAGCAGCAGGAAAUGCUAGCAGAAUGCCUGGUUGUAUAGCAUAGAUGUCCAACCUUUUGGCUUCCCUGGGCCACAUUGAGCGCAGAGGAAUUGUCUUGGGCCACACAUAAAAUCUAUAAUAUAAUUAAUUUAUAUGAUAAAACUUCAAAAGCCCUUUUCUUAAAUUUGUUUAGUAGAUAACUCCCUUAUUUGUUAUCCUUACGUAGGAUUGCCAUAUUUAAGGAUAUCAACUUAGGGAGCUGUCUACUAAACACAUACACAUGAAUAUACAUAUGCAAACAUAACCACACAUAUACACGCACAUAAUCACACACAAUCACAGACCAACACAUACAAUCACAGACCUAUACACACAGUCACAAAUAUACACACACACAAUCACAGACCCACACACCAUAUAUAAAUACAGACCUAUACACACAUAAUCACACACACACACGCGUGAUCACAGCCCUUUACACAGUCACAAAUAUAAACACACACAAUCACAGACCCACACACAUACAUAUAAUCACAGACCUAUACACACACAGUCACAUACAUACACACACAUAAUCAUAGAUGUACAUACACACACACAAUCAGAUACAUACACACACAAUCACAGACCUAUUCAAACACAAUAACAAAUAUACACACACAAUUACAGACCUAUACACAGUCACAUACACACACACACAAUCACAGAUGUACACACACAGACAUACACACACAAUUACAGACCCCCCACACACACACAAUCACAGACCCACACACACAUACAAUCACAGACCUAUACACACAUAAUUACAGAUACAUACAUACACACACAUAAUCACAGACCCACACACACAUACAAUAACAGACGUGUACACACAAUCACAUACAUAUACACACACACAUUUAGACCCACACACACAAUCAUAUAAUUACUGACUUACACACAAUCACAGAAAUACACACAGAUCCCCCACCCCCUUCACACACAAUAAAAAAAAAUCACAUACACACAUGUUUAGUAAUAAAUAGGUCCAUCCAGCCCCCCUACCUAGCUCUGAGAGGGCUGGCAUGGAUCAUCUAUCCAUGGUGGCCAGUGGUUUCUGCUGCUCUUUCUACUGCUAAUACAUCUCUCUAUACAACAGUGGUGUCCAACCCGUGGACCGCUAGCAGUACAGCCUGGGCUGGGAUCACUGUGUUCUUCCUGCACAGGUCCCUCGUACGCCCAGCAGUGAUGCUGAUGCCAGGAUGAUGUCAUAUCCCGGUUGCCGGCUCACUGCAGGGCACACAGGGGAGCUGUCCAGGAGGAGCACAGAGAUCCCAGCCCAGGCUGCACUGCUAGUGGUCCACGGGUUGGACACCACUGUUGUAUAGAGAGAUGUAUUAGCAGUAGACAGAGUGAAGUGUUCAUGCCACUGUACAGAACACUGGUGACACCUCACUUGGAGUAUUGAACAUAGUACUGGAGACCAUCUCUCCAGAAGGAUAUUAAUACUUUGGAGAGAGAUCAGAGAAGGGCUACAAAACUGGUUAAUGGAUUGCAGGGUAAAACCAGGAAAGGUUAAAUAAUCUUAAAGAAGAAUGACGAGGCAAGUGAUAUGAUGUGAAUCAACACUGUAAAGGAGAAGAGUAUAUUUAAAAGAAGAAAAAAAACUAUCACAACAAGAGGACCUAGUCUUAAAUUAGAGGGGCAAAGGUUUAAAAAUAAAAUCAGGAAGUAUUACUUUACUGAGAGGGUAGUGGAUGCAUGGAAUAGCCUUCCAGCUGAAGUGGUAGAGGUUAAAACAGUGAAGGAGAUUAAGCACGCGUGGGAUAGGCAUAAGGCUAUCCUAACUAUAAGAUAAGGCCAGGGACUAAUGAAAAUAUUUAGAAAAUUGGGCAGAGUAGAUGCGCCGAAUGGUUCUUAACUGCAGUCACAUUCUACGUUUCUAUAAAAAAAAACUGCAUUCACAGAAAAUUACUCUGGCAAAGUACACAUAUAAAUGGUAACACUGCUAUAGUUACAAAUUAGGCAAUUAAGGGCAAAUAUGAUUUUAAACUGGAAUUAAAGGACCAUAUAUUUAGUUUCCUGAUGUUAAUGCCGUUGUUAGAUGUUGAUGCCGUCAUAAAAAUCACAUGAAAGGACUAUAAAGUCAUUGUUAAAUUAUUUGCAUAAUGUCACCAUCAGUGAAUUCAUUACAGAUUAAUCCCGUUACUGGUAGUUUUAUUAAAUAUUUAUGAAAUAACUAUUACCAUUUAACAACAAGUGAACCUUGCUUUAAUGGCAUUUGAUUGCUUCUUAGGAUGAACGUAAUACAUAUUAAUUCUCGAUUCUUUCCACGUGGUAACCUUUAAAAAAAUAUAUAUAUUUGCAGUCAUGGUUUAAACAUCCCAUAGAAUGUGCUUAGCUAACCAGGAAACUUAGAAAGAGCGCAUUCAUCCUGUAAAAUGUGUUAAAGGAACACUAUAGGGUCUAGAACACAAAUGUGUAUUCCUGACGCAUAGUGUUAAAAUCACUAUUUAGCCCCCAGGCCAUCCCUUUCCCCCUUAAAUAUAGUAAAAGCUCUCCUUAUUUCCAGCGCAGAAGGGUUCUGCCAGUGCUGGCCCUGACCCGAUCCACCUCCUUGACUGACACUCUCAGCCAAUAAGUACUGUUUUAACCCAGGUAUGAGUUCGUAUAUAAUAUUGGAAGUAAAAGCUCAGACCAACUCAGAUCUGAAGGACAGCAGGUGCCCAACACAGCACGAUAAGUGUCAAAAUAUCCAUAAACGGUUUGACCAAUUACCAAUUUGCCCAUGGACUCCUGGUACUAUAACUACAGCAGGGGUCUGCAGUUGUUAUGGUGCACUUUAAGACAUAUGCUAGAUUAUAAGGGGGAGCAUUGUAGCCCUGUCCUAAUAGGUACGCUUCAGAAUCUCAAGUGAUACAGAUUAGGUUUUCAUCAUUGACAGCAUAGGCAUGAAGUGAGUAGUAGGGGUCAGACCUACUAGGAGAGAGCAGCAGUAAUUCCGGACACAACAGAAUGUAGAUCAUAAUUUUAGUUUACUUUUAAUUUGGUUACUGGAAUGGAGUUUAAGUGAAAGCGUCAGGAUUUAGAAACGGAAUAAAAAAAGAGAAAAAACAUACUAAAAUGUAGCAUAGAGGCAGUUUGCUUUGACAGUUAAUGAUAUGGCAAUAUUAUGAAGGAUAAGAGAGGUUUUAAUUGUUGGGUUUGAAAGCAAAUUUGGUUAGCGAACAUCCAAUUUUUCAGAUGUUAAGCAUUUACUAGUGGGAUAUCACAGACAGCAUAUUCUACUACUGAUUUAAAAAAAGGGAAUGGCAAUUUACUGAAAUGAAAUUGUAAAAAAAAAGUUUGGCUCAAAAGAUAUAGCUUAAAUUUAAAAAAUACAAAAUACAAAACCACAGAUUUGCAUUCAUUAUCUGUCAGCAGGUGCGAUAAGAAAUGAUUGCCAGUGCCAUUUCUGUUAAGCAGGUGAAAUGUGACACAUUAUUAUUGUAGGUCUUUUAAAAACAUCUCCGAGCUGCAUUUGUGAGACAAUAGACAGGGAAAACAACCUUUUCUAGCUUAAAUGAAGAAAAAUAAAUUCAAAGCACAUGUCCAACUCCUGCAUAAUGGUUGUUAUUGUAAAUGAUCAGCGUUCUACCAGCGCUGGCCGGACGUUCUAUUUUUAGAGUACUUUCUACAGCAACAGAUGCGGAAGACACAGGAUUAAUCAGAGUGUAAUAUGAGGGAUACAAAAUCGAUUUUAUAAAGUUUUAAUGACUGAAUCACGGAUUCUAUUCAUGUGACGUGUUUAUAAAGUUAGGUUGCGGUAUUUUCCUCUUUAUGGUUGCUAGGAAGCCGUGACAAGCUUGCUGGCUGUAAUGAGGUGAGGAUUGCCAAGGUCUAAAGUCAGGGCAGUUUCAGAGUUCUGGAAUAAUUUUGUGUGGGAGUACUUCUAAUGAAAUAACACCAAUAAUGUAGCUAUAGCUUCAAAAUAGACAUUUUGCUACUUAUCCUUUCUAUAUACACAUCUCACCGGCAGAGUGUUGGUCUCUGAAAAAAGACCAGUUGCCAUUCACCAACACACAAUUAGACACAUUUUAAACAAACACUCCUGUCCUCUAUAGCACUUUAGCUACUAACUAACAUAGAAUGAAAGGUGUGAUCAGAAACUUGUUUAACUCCUUAAGGACACAUGACUAGAGAUGUCGCGAACCGUUCGCCACGAGCUCCGGUCAGCUGACAAAUCCCGGCCAAUCUCCAGCAGACCCUCCCUUCCAGACCCUCCCACCUCCUGGACAGCAUCAAUGCUGAAGGCAGCUUCGCCUGGAAGUUCGCGAACGGUUCGCGACAUCACUACACAUGACAUGUGUGACAUGUCAUGAUUCCCUUUUAUUCUAGAAGUUUGGUCCUUAAGGGGUUAAAGGACAACUGUCAUCAAAUUUCCACUUUUCAUUUCUUUAAAGUUUAUUACAUUGAAGAAAACUUAAUUAUAUAUUUUGUUUGAGAAAAUUUAAUAUAUUUUUUUUAAUCUGACUGAGCAGCCAUGUUGAGUCAGAGUCCUCUGUUAUCUGACCAGCUGCUGCUCAACCUAACUUUCCUGCUGUUGAGUUUCAAGAUUAUUUUUAUUACAGGCAUUUAUAAAACAUCAACCUGUUCUGUAGUGUUCUACAAUUGGGGGAAAAGACAGUACAAUAUACAAAGAACAAUACCAAAGGUAAAGGCUCUGCCCUUGAGCUGUGAUCUAGUCACCAAAGCUCUUUUAUACAAAGUAUUUGGCUAAACAGCCUUUGUGUUAACAAUUUAGAGGUUCAUAUGGGAAGUUGAAACAACAGGAAGCAGGGGAAAUUUUGAGCUGAUGGCCAGAGAGAAUCAAAGGAUAAUUGCAGCUACAGGUAGCAUGUAAAGGCGAUGCUGUACUGUUUCUUAAGGCCUGUGUAUUCAAUAUUCAGUAUAUUUUUGAGACAUGAUUCCAGAUCGUCUGAGUCAUUUACUUCUUUUACUUUGUUAUAUUUGAUUGCUUGGUGUUUAGACACCUGGAAAAAUGUAUUCUGGUCCUUUUGGAAAUGUUUGGCCUUUUUGGGAGUGGUACAAUUCUACUAAAUUCUCUUGAAUUGCUUGCAGAUGAUGUUGCAACAAUUUUGAAUUUUUUUAUUUUGCAAAUAACAGGACACAGGUCUGUCUAGAGAAAGAAGGGAUGAAUAAAAAAAAUACAAACAGAUAACAGUAGAGUUUGACUAAACAUAGCUGCUCAAACGGAUAAAAAGUGAAAUUUUCUUUAAGAAAAAAACCAAUAUACAUCAUUUAAAAAUAUCAUUUAGUUUCAUUAAUGAUAUUCAUUGUUAGUAUUCCAGACUAAAGAAAGUGGAAAUUCAGAAUAUACCACAUUCCAAACUGGAAUAUUCAUUGUCAGUAUUCCAGACUAAAGAAAGUGGAAAUUCAGAAUAUACCACAUUCCAAACUGGACAUUACUAUUAUUAUUAUUUUUUAAUUCAGCAUCACUGACUCUGCAGAUGGGGGACAGGGCCACUGCAUUGAUAUGACGUGGUCUGGGUAACUAUAGUGUCCCUUUAAAUAAAUAGGUCUCCCUGAUACAGGGAAUGAUACAAUACCACAAGAGGGGUCAGAAUAUUUUUUGUUAUUCCUAAAUAGCGUUUGCAAAAUGUAAAACAUUACAGUUUUUUUACAAUGUAUUUCAUUCAGGAUUAAAUUCACCUUUAGUGGCUUUUAAUAUGACAGUCACUAGAGGCGCUUUGGCUGCACUUACCAAGUAAAGCUUUGUCACACAGGUGCCCCCAUAAGAAAGCAAUGAUUCAAUUAUUUUCCAUGGGGAAGCUUGAGAGCGUGCGGCUCUUGCCACACAUGUGCAAUAGGUUCCCAAACAUAGAAACACACAAAAAAAAAAGAUCUCACAAUUUAAGCCCAAUAUAGUAAUGUUCGAGGUGUUUUAGAGUUAAGUCAGCGAUAAUGUAUUCCUCUAUCAAUUUCAAAAUAUCAAAUUCAAACAGAAAAGAGAGUAACAAGUUCUUAAAGGAAACUAUUCAAAAAAUAAAUUUAAAAAAAAUACUAAAAUGUAUUAAUAGUAGCAAAGAAAGUAUGAGUAAUAUUCAUUUUAUGAAAACACACACAAAAAAAAAAAUCAAAAUAUGCACGUGAAAUAUAUACUGGCAAAUAAAGAGUACUUGUUGAAGGGAAGAUUAACAGUAUCGUUAGUGUAUUAGCUGCUGAGCUCUGCUUAUACAGAUAAACUACCUCUCAGCAGUGCACCUCUUACGCUAAUCAGUGAGAAGGGCAGAGUUGCUAUGACAAUGCAAAGUCCUUAUCCGAUUCCGUGUAAAGGGUGAGCACUCGAGUGCAUUCAAUGUUUCUGUAUUGGCUAUGUAUAUUUUUGGAGUAUACCUGCAGUCCCCAGUCAGCUGCUAUGAAAAAAGAACUAUUUGGAGAAAAUAGUGAUUUUUCUUCCCUUAAUCAAUGUAAUUUAUGUUUGCCCUUUUAGUUGCUGGAACCAUUUCUUCCAAAUAAUUAUUUCUAUUUUCUUAUUGUGUAUAUAUUAUCACUCAUGCUACUUUUCUAUUGAGCUGCUUUUUUUUUUUUUUUAGUUUAGCUUGCAUUAAAUGGACACUCCAAGUACCAUGAAAUCAUACACUUUUAGUAUAAGCACUGUCUACCUGCACACAUUUGCUUGGAAUUAUAAUUUCCCAAAAUUACGAAAGUCAUAGUUUGCUCCUUCACUCAUAGGAGAAAGCUGCACCUUUUCCUCUGUCCGUUCAAAUAUCCCCACUUCCCCUGACUCUAUUACUGUUAAUUGGGAAGGCAUCUGAGCCCCUAUUUGAGAUUAUAUAACCCUGCAAUCUCCAUUAAUGUGACCUGCAUUGCAUCUGUACGUGACUCAGAGACUAUGUUUUCUGAGACUCAGUUUUCGGGGAUCGGGGAGGAGAGAUAUAUCUGGGUGUCGUUGGCAUACAGAUGGUAGCGGAAUCUUACAACAUGGAACGUUUACUCACACAGAUCACACAAAGCAACAUUCUUUAAACAUUCGCUCCCAUGGUCUCACUUUGAUUUGUAGACAGAUUACUAAUGAAACAUUUCAACAAUUCCUCAUUUGUCCACAACUGAAAAAGCCUUUUCUAUGAUACCACUCACAUUGGUUUUAUCCCGGCUCAAUGCAUAUUCUCCUUUAGCUUAUAGCUAUAAUUGUUACCAAAGGGUUGGGUUCUCUACGCCUUUUGUGCCAGUAUGUCCACCAAUAUGUCCCUCUGCCUGUACAAAUACACACUGUAAUGUGGAGAGGAGCACAGUAAAAGUUAAAUAAUUGUAGAAGAAUUCUCAGAUGCUCAAAGUCUGCACUCUUUGAAUAACUGUGGUGUGCAGACCGCUGUGUCCCAAAGCCUAAUAAAAAAAACAGUCAUGAGUUUACAAAUAUUAUUUUGUCAAAGUUUGUAAAUGUUCAUACUACACAGGCACAGAGAACACUCUUACAGAGUAGUUCACUAAAGCGUGAAUUGUUGGGUGUUGAAAGUGAAUUUAAAAUGUUAUACCACAACAGCCGAACUUGAAAAAGUGUCCAGUUUAGCUAUAUUUUCCUUUUUCUUUAUUUUGGAAUUAAAUUUGAAAUUCACUUUGACAAUUGUUUCUCCACUCAUAACAAAUACAUUAUGCAGAGCUUCAACAAUUGCUUCAAGGUUCUGGCUAGGCUUAUCCAUGUACUCUUGGUAUUGUCUUGGCUGUAUGUUUUGGAUCAUUGUACUGUUGGAAGGUGACCUUUCAGCCCAGAGUCCCUGAGCGCGCUAUACCAGGUUUCAUCAAGGAUAUCUCUGUAUUUUGCUAUGUUCAGCUUUCCCUUAGCCCUCUCCCAGUCCCUACUACUGAAAAACAACCCCAAAGCAUGCUACUACCAUCAGACUUCGCCGUGGGGAUAGUAUUGUACAGGUGAUAAGUGGUACCUGGUUUGAUUCGAUCAUCAGACCAGAGAAUCUUGUUUCUCACAGUCAGACAGUCAUUAAGUGCCCCUUAAAUUUCAAGUGGGCUUUUAUGUAUCUUGCUGUGGAGAGGCUUUUUCACAGCAAGACACAUGAAAACCUGCCAUGGUUACAGUGAUUGUUGCCCUUCUUCUUUGUGGGCAGUUCCUUGGACCUCACGGCAUGAUUUUGUUCUAUAGACAGGUGUUUGGCUUCCCAAAUCCAUUGAAUUAGUCACAGAUGGACUCCAAUCAAAAUGUAGAAAUGUCUCAAAGAUGAUCCAGAGAAAUGGGAUGCAGCUGAGCU